rnacentral:rRNA from 1 species
CACCUGUUCCCAUGCCGAACACAGAAGUUAAGCUCCUUAGCGUCGAUGGUAGUCGAACUUACGUUCCGCUAGAGUAGAACGUUGCCAGGCG